GUUUACUCUGUACUCAGAGUCAGCAACUGAAAAUAUAACGGAUCUCUCAUUCAUAAAGCACGACUCCUGUGCCUAUGGAAAGCGGGUAAGCAAAGUUUCGAAGUUCUCCAAAGAAAAAGGAAAAAAGGGUUGAUGCUCAAAUUUAGGACUAGAAAGAAAUGAGAACAUCUGUGAUGUCGAUCAGUGAUGUGAAAAUAGUACAUGGAAAUCAAGCAAGUAAAAAUGAGAAGAUCUAUCAGAAUUGUUAACACGGUUACUUAUGCUAAAAUCACCUCCAUUGAUGAAAAACCUAAUCACUAAGGUCAUUCAACUUUCACUUUGUAAAAUUGUACUCUAAACAAAGGACAUAUCCUAAGGAUGUGAAACAAAAAUAAUACAUCUUUUAAUAAACUUCAAGCCAUUUUUCUCCAA